GUCCCCGUAGUUUAACGGAUAAAAUAUCAGAUUGCGGAUCUGAGGCUAGAGGUUCAAUUCCUCUCGGGGACA
rnacentral:tRNA from 2 species